CCUGCUUCCUUGCCUUGCCUGCAAUUGCCCUUUGUUUGGAUCGAUCGGUGCUCCGUAUAUAUAGCCCUGAAUCUGAAGCAGGAAGCGUUCCAUAAAUUAAGAACUUAAGGAGGCGGUGCAAAUGAGAAACCGGCUUUCACCUGGCGGGGGCGGUUCAUUAGCGAUAUCUGUAUCGGAUUUCGAUCACAGCUUCCGACUUUUAGAGUGCCGGAUAACUCGAUUCUAGAAGUCUGGCUGUGGCACGACUUUCUGCCCCCAGCUGACAAGCUGAAAAGCUGGAAAUCGCUUUUCAUUGUGCUUAGUCGACGGAAACCUGAUUUGUUUACCCAGCCGAGUGUGAUUUAAAAAAAUAAAACCGACCUUUUUGCACUAAACUUUGCACUCGAACGAGGCUUUGUUUCCAAUAACAAAAGCGUUCCGCCAUCACGUAUUGGUUAUCGGUCGAACGAGCGUUUCCAGAGACAAAUGCCUGGAAUUGUCAACCCGUUGAGCCAUCUAUAUAUUUAUUAAGUGUCGAGUGUUAAGCGGCUAGAACUCGACACAGAGUGUUGAAAGGCACUCAUCGCAACUGUCAAAAGGCCUGCAAUCAGCGCUUACACUCAUCAAGUUAAAGGAAUUAACAAAGAACAGUUUUGCUUGCUUUGCAUUUAUCACUUAAAUUAAGGGCUGGAAUGACUGCAUUUGGGCCUCCACCAACGUAGUUGGCCACGUUCCAUGUGGCAGGCCGCAUUCCGAGCCUCAAAACGGCUUGCACAGCACGUAAACACACUCCUCUGAGUCACUUUUAGCCAAGUCUCUCUGCAUUUCAUUAGCCCGGGCACAUGGGCAUAUGUGUAGCCAAGUCCAAUGCGAGACCCUGAACCCAAACUUUGAGGCUGUGAAAUCGGCUUAAGAUCUGGAGAUCUUGAGUUAUGGUCAGGCCAAAGCAGAUCAAGGCAAUCCCGCAAAGAGGUUCAGCGUCCAACGCCCCAAAUGCUGGGUUCCAAUGUACAAUUGCAGAAGAGGAGAAAGUUGCAGUCGCGCAGAAUAGGGCCACAACACUUACUCAGUUGUCAGCUGGUUUCGUUUGGUUUGGUACCAUCGAUGACUAAUGUUUUAUGGCAGGAAUUGAUUAAUGCUAAUGCCACUUUGUCUGACUGUCAGGCUUGAUCGAUUAGAUUCAGGGUUAAGGUAAAAAGUCAACGCAAUGUGGGUGCGAAAUAUGCGAGCCAAGCGUCACGCUCAAUUGAUCAGUGAACAAGCGCCGAUAGAGAAUUGCAUUUGGCUUUCCCUCGGCGGCAUAGGCAUCCAAAUCCCAUUCAUAUGACAUCAUUGUUAGCCAAAGCUGUUAAAAUACAACAACCUGGAUCGUUAAAUCACUCUCGAAAUAGUUUACCCAGCGCUGUUUUCGUAUGGCAAUCAUGUGCCAAAUAAAAACUUCUAAGUGAGCCAGAGCAAAGCGGAGACAUUGCGCAUACGCCACAUGUGCCGACACUUAAGUUCUGUGUAAGACACGGCUCUAAACCAAGUUUACCCACACACCCAGUUGAUCGCAAAUGUUUGGCUGGCCACUAAAGCCCAGCUCCAACUCAAACUACGGCUGUCCAUAAAAGAUGUGCUUAAGUAUUCAUAAUUCGCCCUCCACGGCGUAGACGUAGAUCCAUAGAGCCAUACGUCCAAAACCCGUACUCCGACCAAUUACCAGCCAUGAAACCAGAAACAGCCAAAGCAGAGAGUGCUGUGACCUCAUUAACUCUCAACUGGCCCGUGUUUGCUUUGGGCUCUUUAUCUGUAUAAUACGGAGGUACGGAGCUAUGGAACUAUGGAGCUAUGGAGCUAUGGUGGUUCCUAUGGGCGGCCGGCUUAUGUAGCGAUUAGAUAAUGCCUGAGUGAAUUCAUCAGCCAUCACCUAGCAGCCAACUGGCGACAGCUUGACAUACUACACACCACUGCCGAUCCUGCCACAGAUCGAAAGCCCUGCCCAAGAACCAAGUCGCAGUCAAGUCGAGCUGGGGCGAAAAUUAGCAUUCGAAAUCGUUUUCCAGGAAUUCACAGUGCACUCCUCCGAACUGGUUGAUUACGUCUGGAAAACCGAGUCGCACCUCAAAAUAAAAUGAACGCGUGUGUUUAUUGCCCAGAUCUUGGUAAAUUAUUUGUGUGCGAUGUACAUUUCAUUUAAAUUCCAGCUUCGUGCUCUGCUCGCCCAGCCAACGGAGAUGGUUAUAAAAGCGGCGAGCAUUAAAAUUGAAAAUCGUUUGGAACUGGUUCUGAAUUAUGCAUAGAAAUAAAUAAUUUAUAUUUAGAGAA